UACAGAGGGUGCGAGGGAUAUUCGGAAUUACUGGGCGUAAAGCGCACGUAGGUGGCGACGUAAGUCGGGUGUGAAAGCCCCGGGCUCAACCUGGGAAUUGCAUUCGAGACUGCAUUGCUGGAGUACGGAAGAGGAGGGCGGAAUUCACGGUGUAGCGGUGAAAUGCGUAGAUAUCGGGAGGAACAUCAGUGGCGAAGGCGGCCCUCUGGUCCAGUACUGACACUCAAGUGAGAAAGCGUGGGGAGCAAACAGG
rnacentral:rRNA from 1 species